AGAGUUUGAUCCUGGCUCAGAUUGAACGCUGGCGGUAUGCUUAACACAUGCAAGUCGAACGGUAACAGGACGCUGGGAUCCCUUCGGGGUGAACUUGCCGCUGACGAGUGGCGGACGGGUGAGUAAUACUUAGGAAUCUACCCAGUAGCGGGGGACAACUCGAGGAAACUCGAGCUAAUACCGCAUACGCCCUACGGGGGAAAGCGGGGGAUCUUCGGACCUCGCGCUAUUGGAUGAGCCCAAGUCGGAUUAGCUUGUUGGUGGGGUAACGGCCUACCAAGGCAGCGAUCCGUAGCUGGUCUGAGAGGACGAUCAGCCACACUGGGACUGAGACACGGCCCAGACUCCUACGGGAGGCAGCAGUGGGGAAUAUUGGACAAUGGGGGCAACCCUGAUCCAGCAAUACCGCGUGUGUGAAGAAGGCCUGCGGGUUGUAAAGCACUUUCAGUAGAGAAGAAAAGCUUAGGGUUAAUACCCCUGGGUCUUGACUUAACCUACAGAAGAAGCACCGGCUAACUCCGUGCCAGCAGCCGCGGUAAUACGGGGGGUGCAAGCGUUAAUCGGAAUUACUGGGCGUAAAGCGCGCGUAGGCGGUCUGGUCAGUCGGAUGUGAAAGCCCCGGGCUUAACCUGGGAAUGGCAUUCGAUACUGCCCGACUAGAAUAUGGAAGAGGGAAGUGGAAUUUCCGGUGUAGCGGUGAAAUGCGUAGAGAUCGGAAGGAACACCAGUGGCGAAGGCGACUUCCUGGCCCAAUAUUGACGCUGAGGUGCGAAAGCGUGGGUAGCGAACAGGAUUAGAUACCCUGGUAGUCCACGCCGUAAACGAUGAGAACUAGAUGUCGGGAGGGUUUAGCCUUUCGGUGUCGCAGCUAACGCGUUAAGUUCUCCGCCUGGGGAGUACGGUGGCAACACUAAAACUCAAAGGAAUUGACGGGGACCCGCACAAGCGGUGGAGCAUGUGGUUUAAUUCGAUGCAACGCGAAGAACCUUACCUGCCCUUGACAUUGACAGAACCCUCUGGAGACAGAGGGGUGCUUCGGCCUGGAAAACAGGUGCUGCAUGGCUGUCGUCAGCUCGUGUCGUGAGAUGUUGGGUUAAGUCCCGCAACGAGCGCAACCCUUGUCCUUAGUUGCCAGCACGUAAUGGUGGGGACUCUAGGGAGACUGGCCGGUGUCAAGCCGGAGGAAGGUGGGGAUGACGUCAAGUCAUCAUGGCCCUUAUGGGCAGGGCUACACACGUGCUACAAUGGCCGGUACAAAGGGUUGCCAACCCGCAAGGGGGAGCUAAUCCCAGAAAGCCGGUCGUAGUCCGGAUCGCAGUCUGCAACUCGACUGCGUGAAGUUGGAAUCGCUAGUAAUCGCGAAUCAGCAACGUCGCGGUGAAUACGUUCCCGGGCCUUGUACACACCGCCCGUCACACCAUGGGAGUGGGCUGCACCAGAAGUAGGUUGCUUAACCUUCGGGAGAGCGCUUACCACGGUGUGGUUCAUGACUGGGGUGAAGUCGUAACAAGGUA
rnacentral:rRNA from 1 species